GGGGCCGUGCCGGUGCCCGGGCCAGGCGAAGGAGGGGAAGGGGCUGGGGCUGUGCUCCCCCCCACUCUUAUUUUUCCUCUCAUUUUUUAUUUUUUUUUUCCCCUUUCCCUCCCUUUCCGCGUGAAUACGCGGUUGGGGAGGCAGGCGAGCAGCACUCGCUCCGCCUGGGCGGGGAAGCCGCUCGGAGGAGGAGGAGGAGGAGGAGGAGGAGGAGGAGGAGGUGGGGGGGGGACAUGAAUAUCUGCCGCUGCCUGCGACGCCUCGCAGCCUUUACAGGAGGCAGGACCCUGUGAAGCAGCAGCUACCCGGUUGCACCAGUUGGCAAAUUAAAAAUCAGAAAACAAGAAGCUCAAAGAGUCGCUGUUACCAGAAAGGUCAGAAUCAAUGGACUUUGUGGAUAUAGAUAUGUUUGAAGACAUCAGCACUUCCCAUUACAAGAAUCAUGAAUAAACUGGCAGACCAGCAGGAUCACAUGAUACCAUGAAGAGAAGCUUACAGGUCCUCUAUUGCCAACUGUUUACACCGGCGUCUGUAUGAGGACCUGUCACCAUAGCAUCUGGAAAUGAAUGCCAGUCUGAGUGUUUCUUCAUGCCAUUAUCACUUAGUGCGUUCCCCAGCAUCACUCUUUCAUCAUUGAGGCCUGGCACGAUGCCCGGUAAUAUCAGCAGAAAGCGCCUCCCAUGUGCAGACGCACAGCUCUCAGUAGCAAACCGAGCAAAAAUGGCAGAGAGUGGCUGCGCCUUACACCACACGCUGUCACAAAUCUUGUGUCCUCUUGCUGUGGAUGCAGCUCGCCUUCCUCCUGGCAGCCUGAGCGUGUUUUGUUAAGUCUCUUGCAGUGAAGUUCACACUGUAAAAAGGGUAAGCACGAGCUGGUGCUCCAUGCACGUCUGACACUAUUCCGGG